rnacentral:rRNA from 1 species
AGCCUGAUGCAGCGACGCCGCGUGAGGGAUGACGGCCUUCGGGUUGUAAACCUCUUUCAGUAGGGAAGAAGCGAAAGUGACGGUACCUGCAGAAGAAGCGCCGGCUAACUACGUGCCAGCAGCCGCGGUAAUACGUAGGGCGCGAGCGUUAUCCGGAAUUAUUGGGCGUAAAGAGCUCGUAGGCGGUUUGUCGCGUCUGCCGUGAAAGUCCGGGGCUUAACCCCGGAUCUGCGGUGGGUACGGGCAGACUGGAGUGCAGUAGGGGAGACUGGAAUUCCUGGUGUAGCGGUGAAAUGCGCAGAUAUCAGGAGGAACACCGAUGGCGAAGGCAGGUCUCUGGGCUGUUACUGACGCUGAGGAGCGAAAGCAUGGGGAGCGAACAGGAUUAGAUACCCUGGUAGUCCAUGCCGUAAACGUUGGGCACUAGGUGUGGGGGCCAUUCCACGGUUUCCGCGCCGCAGCUAACGCAUUAAGUGCCCCGCCUG